GUCUCCCGGUUUUUAAUAAGACUUGCUAAUAUAUUUUGUUUGUGAAAAUAUAUAGCUCAACAGUGAGAUUCGUGAAACCGUUUUCAUUUGGGUAAACUUAGUAUUCAUUUUUUGUGGUGUCUAUAGGGAGAUUGGUUUUCUGUAAAUUUUUUAUUGAGAUGUUUUUGGCAAUCUAUAGUUUCAGAUUUGUUUAUGUUUCGUGCUUUUGUGUAAAUGAACUAAGGUUUAUUAAACUCAAUCACUUCAUUUUAUGCUCCUGCUUGUUACGGUACAACUGAUGAUGGUUUGUUUCUUUGAUUGUAAAUUUUAGAAGAGCAACUUUUUAUGGGGUCGACUGUUGUGGCUGUUUCUAAGGUUAUGUGAAUAUUUGGUUUUUGGAAUAUGAUUAAUUUUUCUUCUCCUUCCACUCUUGCUUUAUAUGAAGGACAAUAUGCCCUAUUUUUCUUAGAUAAACAACCUUUUCACUAUCUUGCAUGCUUCGGCAACAAGGAUUAAUAAAACUGCACGUCUAUUAUAGAGAGAGAUAGACGUAGGGAGAAGUUGGAAUUGGAGAGAGAGAGAGAGAGAGAGAGAGAGGGUGAGGGAGGGAUGUGGUUGCUUUCCUAAGAUUUGUUUGGAAUUGUUUCUCCAGUUCUUUCUAUUUGUUUGGGAUUGUUUCUUUUUUACUGAAUUAUUUUGGUCUACCACUAAAAUCUGAUUUCUGCUAUUAGUUGCUGCUGAAAUGUGACUUUUGCUAUUAAUUUUUUACCUUUCAUGUUUAUGCUGCUUUUGGAUUCCAUUCGAAUCAAAUAAUGUAGUUAAUCUUGAUCUGAAUUCUCUCUACAACAAUAUUAGGGACUUUAGUUUAAAUUUUCACUAAUUUGUUCUUGAUUUGGAUUGGAUCUUGGUUAAUUUGGACUGCAGGUGGUUCUGCUAUGGAGGAGAAGCUGCAAGAGCUUAUGAUCUUGUUGCACUUAAGUACGGUCGUUCUUUAUCUCAUAUAAACUUUUCGUUACACCCAAGUGCUCUCAUAGAGGGAAGCUCAUGGCUCACGCUGUCUCUCGGGCUAAUCUCGGCCUCACUUACUCUUCUGACAUUGACGCCCCAAAGAAAGUAUUGUCAUUGGACGAGAACUCUUACAAGCAACCUGCAAAUCUGUUCAAGGAAACCAAGAUCUGUUAAUAUCAAAUGCGUCAGCCAUUGGCAAUAGAAUAUUAUGUAUUGUUAUUUCUCCAUUCCAUAGUCAUAUUAAUAAUGUUAUGAUUAAAUUAGGCUUAAGGUGAUCUUUUAGAAUCCUUUUGCUAGAACACUUGCUUUAAUCUGGAUUUGGUCUAACUUAAAUGCAUUUCUAUGUACUGCUUGAAAAAGAAAAAUGAUUCUGGUUUGCUUUUGUUUUGUACUCUGUAAAAACUUUGAGUGACAAGAAUUCAGAUAAUUCACAGAAGAGUUCUGAUGAUAAUGGAUUUUCCCUCUUCCAAAUUUGAAAGCUGCAAAACUGAAGCAAAAGAGUUGCAGGCAAUUUUUGUGUGCUUGAGCCUAUUAAGCAAGUUGAAACUGUGGCUCAGUUUGGGCUUCGAGUUGUUCAAGCGGUUGCUAUUCGAGGAGGGCUACUACAAAUCUUCCUAUUUAUGUGCCUAUGUGGCAUUACCACCUCGGUAUGUCUACUAAUUUUCUCUAGAAUUUCUGGCUAUUGAAAAAUCCAUUUAGAACUAGAACAUAGAGUUGUGAUAAGCUUAUGUAUACCACAUGAAGUUGGAGUAGAAUACACUUCCUUUAUCAUCCUGCAUCUUAGACACUCUUAUUCUUUCUAUGUUGAAUCCUAUAAGUAAUUUGUAAUUAGUUUUCUAUAUUUGGUACAUGUAAGUUUGCACUUCCGAUAAUUUUUCUCGACCUCAUUGUUUUAAGCUAAAUGUUCAGUUAAUGUAGACUAUGUUAUAGAUGUUUCUCAUUCUCAAUGUUGCAGUUCUGAUUGGAAGCCCAUAAACCUA